AUUGAACGCUGGCGGCAGGCCUAACACAUGCAAGUCGAACGAGUGGCGGACGGGUGAGUAAUGUCUGGGAAACUGCCCGAUGGAGGGGGAUAACUACUGGAAACGGUAGCUAAUACCGCAUACCAUCGGAGGUGCCCAGAUGGGAUUAGCUAGUAGGUGGGGUAACGGCUGACCUAGGCGACGAUCCCUAGCUGGUCUGAGAGGAUGACCAGCAACACUGGAAGUGAGACAGGGUCCAGACGCCUACGGGAGGAAGCAGUGGGGAAGAUUGCACAAGGGGCGCAAUCCUGAUGCAGAAAGGCCGCGUGUAUGAAGAAGGCCUUCGGGUUGUAAAGUACUUUCAGCGGGGAGGCGUUACCCGCAGAAGAAGCACCGGCUAACUACGUGCCAGCAGCCGCGGUAAUUC
rnacentral:rRNA from 1 species